GAUGAACGCUAGCGGCAGGCCUAAUACAUGCAAGUCGAACGAGAUUAAGAGGCUUGCUUCUUAUGAAAGUGGCGCACGGGUGCGUAACGCGUAUGCAACCUACCUUAAUCAGGGGGAUAGCCCGAAGAAAUUCGGAUUAAGACCGCAUAAAAACACAGGAUAGCAUUAUCCAAUGUUCAAAUAUUUAUAGGAUUAAGAUGGGCAUGCGUGUCAUUAGCUAGUUGGCGGGGUAACGGCCCACCAAGGCGACGAUGACUAGGGGAUCUGAGAGGAUGACCCCCCACACUGGGACUGAGACACGGACCAGAGUCCUACGGGAGGCAGCAGUAAGGAAGAGUGGUCAAUGGAGGGAACUCUGAACCAGCCAUGCCGCGUGCAGGAAGACAGCCCUCUGGGUCGUAAACUGCUUUUAUUCGGGAAUAAACCUUUCUACGUGUAGGAAGCUGAAUGUACCGAAGGAAUAAGGAUCGGCUAACUCCGUG
rnacentral:rRNA from 1 species